rnacentral:rRNA from 1 species
GAUGAACGCUGGCGGCGUGCCUAAUACAUGCCAGUCGAGCGAACAGACGAUGAGCUUUCUCCUCUGACGUUAGCGGCGGACGUGUGAGUAACACGUGGAUAACCUACCUAUAUUACUGGGAUAACUUCGUGAAACCGUAUCUAAUACCGGAUAAUAUAUUGUACCGCAUGGUUCAAUAGUUAAAGACGGUUUUUCUGUUUCUUAUAGAUGUAUCCGCGCCGCAUUAGCUAGUUGGUAAGGUAACGGCUUACCAAGGCAACGAUGCGUAUCCGAACUGAUAGGGUGAUCAGCCACACUGGAACUGAGACACGGUACAGACUCCUACGGGAGGCAGCAGUAGGGAAUAUUCCGCAAUGGGCGAAAGCUUGACGGAGCAACGCCGCGUGAGUGAUGAAGGUCUUCGGAUCGUAAAACUCUGUUAUUAGGGAAGAACAAAUGUGUAAGAAAAUAUGCACGUCUUGACGGUACCUAAAAAGAAAGCCACGGCUAACUACGUG